rnacentral:rRNA from 1 species
AUCAUGACUCUCGGCAACGGAUAUCUUGGCUCUCGCAUCGAUGAAGAACGUAGCAAAAUGCGAUACCUGGUGUGAAUUGCAGAAUCCCGUGAACCAUCGAGUUUUUGAACGCAAGUUGCGCCCGAGGCCUUUUGGUCGAGGGCACGUCUGCCUGGGCGUCACGCCAA